rnacentral:tRNA from 1 species
CGGGGUGUAGCGCAGCUUGGCAGCGCGCUUCGUUCGGGACGAAGAGGCCGGGAGUUCGAAUCUCCCCACCCCGA